GACGAACGCUGGCGGCGUGCUUAACACAUGCAAGUCGAACGGAAAGGCCCUGCUUUUGUGGGGUGCUCGAGUAGCGAACGAGUGAGUCACACGUGAGUAACCUGCCCUUGACUUUGGGAUAACUUCAGGAAACUGGGGCUAAUACCGGAUAGGAGCUCCUGCUGCAUGGGGGGGGUUGGCAUGUUUCGGCGGUUGGGGAUGGACGCGCGGCUUAUCAGCUUGUUGGUGGGGUGGUGGCUUACCAAGGCUUUGACGGGUGGCCGGCCUGAGCGGGUGGCCGGCCACAUUGGGACUGGGAUACGGCCCAGACUCCUACGGGGGGCAGCAGUGGGGAAUAUUGCACAAUGGGCGGAAGCCUGAUGCAGCAACGCCGCGUGGGGGAUGACGGCCUUCGGUUGUUAAACCGUUUUCGCCUGUGACGAGGCGUGAGUGACGGUAAUGGGUGAAGAAGCACCGGCUAACUACGUG
rnacentral:rRNA from 1 species